ensembl:lncRNA
GUGACAUUUAGGAUCAAAGUGGGGAUAGCUGAGCAUUACAGGAAGGAAGACAAUGGUGUUGUCAGAGCAGAAAGUUGGGAAAUCUGUGGCAAUAUGAAUGAGAAAGAAGGAAUGCAGAAAAACACAUCAGCAUGACAACUGGGGAUGCUGGAGAGGUUGCUAAGGGCAUUCUCAGGGUUUGGGGAGAAAGGAAUAGAAGUUCAAGGCAGCAGCUCUGAGCAUGAACCUGUCUGCUGUCUGAAACUGUUGUGGAGGUAAUACCAAUGCUCUCCUACGAGGGCUUGGGUGGAUCUCACCUUAGGUGAGAAUGGAGAAGGCUGCAGGGACGGGUGACAAAUAUGGGUCCUGGCUGGGAGGGCAGCUCCUGCCAUGGUGCUGCCUGAAAAAGCAGGCUCAGCUGUGGUCCAUCAGCUGGUCCAGAGGAGCUCUGAACGAAGCAGAGUGAGCAGAUAACAGAGGAGAAUAUGUUGUCUGGGAGAAGCAACCAAAGAGUGGACAGAAGAUUCAAGAGUGGGUGGAGUUGGAGGCUGCAUAGAAUACACAGCUUCAGAAGUGCUGAACAGGACUCAGAGAUCACAGAAAGCUGAGGAAGUGGACGUGGCCCAGAGGAGCUCCCCUGCCCAAGCAGACUAAAUCCACAGCGGGACUUCUGUGAUGUUACACUGCUGUACGCAUGCGCUCUCUGCCAGCUGCUCCAUGGCAGUGCAGAUCCUCCUUCACAUUACCACCGUGGUUGUGUGCAGAGGUGCUGAGCAGAUUCUGAUCCCAUGGAUGAUGCUGGAAGUACCAAUUGGUGGAAAUCAUUCCACACCAAAAGCAAGCAUGUUCAUGAGAGUAUGGGCUACUAAAUCUAUCUUCCUUCCUUCCUUCCCUCCUUCCCUCCUUCCCUCCUUCCUUCCUUCCUUCCUUCCUUCCUUCCUUCCUUCCUUCCUUCCUUCCUUCCUUCCUUCCUUCCUUCCUUCCUUCCUUCCUU